AUUGAACGCUGGCGGCAGGCCUAACACAUGCAAGUCGAGCGGAUGACGGGAGCUUGCUCCUUGAUUCAGCGGCGGACGGGUGAGUAAUGCCUAGGAAUCUGCCUGGUAGUGGGGGACAACGUUUCGAAAGGAACGCUAAUACCGCAUACGUCCUACGGGAGAAAGCAGGGGACCUUCGGGCCUUGCGCUAUCAGGUGAGCCUAGGUCGGAUUAGCUAGUAGGUGAGGUAAUGGCUCACCUAGGCGACGAUCCGUAACUGGUCUGAGAGGAUGAUCAGUCACACUGGAACUGAGACACGGUCCAGACUCCUACGGGAGGCAGCAGUGGGGAAUAUUGGACAAUGGGCGAAAGCCUGAUCCAGCCAUGCCGCGUGUGUGAAGAAGGUCUUCGGAUUGUAAAGCACUUUAAGUUGGGAGGAAGGGCAGUAAGUUAAUACCUUGCUGUUUUGACGUUACCAACAGAAUAAGCACCGGCUAACUUCGUGCCAGCAGCCGCGGUAAAAC
rnacentral:rRNA from 1 species